GAUGAAGAACGUAGCGAAAUGCGAUAAGUAAUGUGAAUUGCAGAAUUCAGUGAAUCAUCGAAUCUUUGAACGCACAUUGCGCCCCUUGGUAUUCCGAGGGGCAUGCCUGUUCGAGCGUCAUUUAAACCAAUCUAGCUUGCUAGGUCUUGGGCUUUCGCCUCUGGGCGGGCCUCAAAAUCAGUGGCGGUGCUGCCGGGCUUUAAGCGUAGUAAUCUUUCUCGCUAUAGGGUCCUGGUAGAGGCUUGCCAACAACUAUAAAUCUUUCAAAGGUUGACCUCGGAUCAGGUAGGGAUACCCGCUGAACUUAAGCAUAUCAAUAAGCGGAGGA
rnacentral:misc_RNA from 1 species